CGGGGUGUAGCGCAGUUGGUAGCGCACCGCGUUUGGGACGCGGGGGUCGUCGGUUCGAGUCCGACCACCCCGACUA
rnacentral:tRNA from 2 species